rnacentral:lncRNA from 1 species
GUCCCUGAAGUUGGUUUAUACUUCCAGACAGGCAUAUCCAGCUAUGUUGCAAGAAGUGAAUGGUUCUUCACCCUUAACAGUCUGCACAGAUAAGGAUUGUUUGCUACUAGAGAACCUGUUUUUUCCAAGUAAUGAAGUAAAGCCAACUGGAUUGGUGAUAAGGGCUUGCUUUUCCUAGCAUGAUUCAUCCCAGGAGAGUGUGGUGCAAAGUAGUCAACAGCUCUAACACUGCUGCAGCAGAAUAACCCUUCAUCUGGGGUGCUUCCUGGCCUGUUUUCAUUUGAUUGGGAAAUACUCCUGCAAGGCAUUGUGGAAAAGUCUGCUGGGUGUUUGUCCUGCUCCCUCCCAGGCAGAAAAGCAGUCAUAGCUGGGGAAGAUGGAGUGGAUUUUGAUGGCACCACACAGAAUCUGAGGAGGUCCAGGACUGCCCCUUCCAUGCUGAGACACCUGCAGAGCUGGGACAUGCAGACCCCUGUGGGGUGUUGUGUGGGGAAAGAGUGGAGCAGGAUAAGGAUGACCAUGGAUGGAAUGGAAAGAGUGACCACCCGUGAGAGCAAACAGCUUUGGUCUCCCUGCUGCAGGUGGAGGAACCCAAAUACUCCAGCCUUCAGAUACCACAGCCUUGAAUGCCAUGGGAUGAGGUGGUCAGCAACACAGAAGAAGGAGAUCAUCAGGGGAAACCUCUUUGUCCAGAUUACACCUGCAUUGAGAUAA